rnacentral:rRNA from 1 species
CGCGUAGGCGGGAUGGCAAGUCGGUCGUGAAAUCCUUCGGCUCAACCGAAGAACGUCGAUCGAUACUGCUAUUCUUGAGGAUUGCAGAGGAGACUGGAAUUCCCGGUGUAGCGGUGAAAUGUGUAGAGAUCGGGAGGAACACCGGUGGCGAAGGCGGGUCUCUGGGCAAUUCCUGACGCUGAGGCGCGAAAGCGUGGGGAGCAAACGGGAUUAGAUACCCCGGUAGUCCACGCUGUAAACGAUGACGACUAGGUGUGGGGGGGUUCAGUCCCCUCCGUGCCGCAGCUAACGCAUUAAGUCGUCCGCCUGGGGAGUACGGCCGCAAGGUUGAA